UAGUAGUUAUACGACUGACGGAAGUGGAAUAGACCACAUGAAGUAUAAUUUUAAAGAGCCGACCGUCUGGGCAAAAGAU
rnacentral:ncRNA from 2 species